UGCUUUCAUACUCCAUUAACAUUUAGGAAGUAAGAAAUGCCCAUAAGACACAGUUCCAUCGUGUUCCCGGACUGAUGUUCAAAAGGAAAUGAAGAUUGAAGGGGCCUUAUGACCCCCUUGGUUUUUCAUGCGAGGUGUCAGCGUUGCAAUGCUGACAUAGAGAGCAGAGGACAGCAAAAGAUAAACUCUGAAACUUUUGCCUGCAAAAUCCCUUUGAAGCUCGGUUGUUGUGGAGAUCAGGGGAGGGGGCACAUUCCUGAGAAAUGACGGGGAAAAGAAGUCUGAAGAAUGACUUGGAAGACAGCCAAUGAGAAGCAGAGUCUUGGGGGUCGGAAAGGGAGGGAUUGGGGGGCAAAAGGUCAGUCUUGUCCGCGCGGAGUCAUGAUCCGGUGGCUGAGCUCAAUUAAAGAAAGAUUUCCUUAAA